ensembl:lncRNA
ACAGAUUUGAUGCACCCAAUCUGGUGGUGCUAAUUAAUAACAAAGCCCCAAGUGUACUUGCCGAAUAUGAAAAAUCUGGAACGCUCUCUCUGGCAUCCAGAAAACUCCUUGUGAGAACAGGUGUCAGCGAUCUGGUUGAGCGACGGGGAUUUUACCCCUCCAAUGCUGACAAACUGAUGUUGGCUAAAAGCAUAACAACAAUCUUCCCAUCAUUAAAGAUCAAGAUACAAGAGGCGAAUGAAGGAUUUGAGCACUUUUAUGAUCCAGUGUCCCACUGUGGAUUCAUUGAGUUGAAACUGAGGAACCUGCGGAGAAACCUUCAUGAAGAUCAGAGACGCUAUCGCAAACGCGGAAAGUCCAGUGAGGCUUCUGGAGUAGCUAUAACAUUACAAGCAAUUUCAGAAGGGGAAGAAGAGUCCGCCAAGGAUUGGAUAACAGCUACCAAAAGGAUCAGACCAUCUCCUGAGAACCUCACAUCUAUCAAAAUGGGCAUGCAGAAAACCUUUAACAACCGCAGGUUCUGGAUCUCAAGCCAGUCACCAACAGUAGAAGAGAUUCUCCAGGAGUACCCUCGCUUUGUAGACAUGCCAUAUUUGAUUGAUGCAGAGUUUGCGAGAAUGUUUCCGGGCAAGGAAGACCUCUUCCUCCGGAAAUGGGAAGGGCAUAUUGUUCCGAAACUCCUGAAAGUGGCUACACUUGAAAAUGAAAAUGACCCUAGUGAGCCGUCAGUUGGUGAGGAGAUUGAUGAGUCACGUUGUUUCAGAGCCCUAAAGUUACUCACCCGUUAUCUACCUCCGACUGCAUCAGGGAGGAGCAAAGGAUGGACAAAAUGCAGUGUCAAAUCAGC